ensembl:misc_RNA
UGCCUACUCUCUGUGAUGAAAGCAAGUGUGUUCCUGGAGAGGUCACUGACUCUGGAGCUACUUUGAGGGAGUUGCAGGUGGCACAGGCCUCCCUUUUCAAGGAAGCACAGGACACCAUCACAAUCAGGCAGCCAGGAGCCAGGGCUUCCAUAGGCCCAGCUCUGCACCUAUAGGGGGAUGCAAUCUGGUAAAAGUGUUCUGGAGUCAUUCUUGGAUAUCUGCUUGGUAUCUUCUCAAUAUCUUGACUAUCUGUGACAAUUUUUUUUUUUUUUUUUUUUG